UGCCUCCCACCAUUUUUGGCAAUGGUAGAACUCACACUGGUGAGGUAAUGGGAUCCGGUGGUUCUAGACUUGCCAACUAUGGUGUGAGGGCUCAG
ensembl:miRNA chi-mir-182 chi-mir-182